AGCUCCUCCUCGGUCGAUGGCAUCGUCGGAGCUGCUGCCGAGCGCGCCGCCGCCAAGCCGACGCGCGUGUACACGCGCUCCGAGCUGCUGAUGUUCUCGCGGUCGGCGGUGGCCCGGUACCCACCCAGGGGCUGGGCCGAGGUCCGGCAGCGUCACCCCACCAUCACGCGGGCCACGCCCAAGGUGUUCGACCCGGAUGAGUUCUCGGCGCGGCCGGCGGCCGUGAUCUGCCGCCAGGGCUCGGCCGACUCGGCCAGUCGCUCCCCCACGCCGCCCUAGACGCCUGCUGUGUCGGCGGGUGGCCGUCCCGGUGCCAGCCUCGCCCCAGGCCUACUGAACCGAGCGCCCGCCCACGGACGGAGAGCCGUGUCCACCUUGUCGUUACCACUUCGCCAAAGAAAGCUGCUGCUCCUACUCAGAUGAAUCAAUAACGUAUCGCGUGUGUGGUCGUAGAGUUAGCGCCAGUCGUGUUGUCUCGGGGAACAGAUCUGAGUAAAGCUGGCUGUCCGAACCCUUCAGGUACGCCAUGUUCUAGUGCUUUCACAAGUGGAGCUAGACGUUCGCAGUGCUCCCACGCCUUUGUCGAACAAGACCAGAACAUGCAUGGAAUGCUGUUUUUGUGGCGUGCAACUUAUUACCAGGUGUGGGAAUCAUCGGUGUGAGCAAGCAACCAAUUUGCAAGCUAACGCAUUAAAUUGGCGUGUUUUUUUUCUGUGGUUGUGAAAAGUGCAGCUAUGGAUGCAAUACUGAGCGGAGUUAAGCACCGGGUCUGUCAGCCUACCUUGCUAGCUCAGAAUUGUACAUUGAUGUCUCAAAGGAUACGUGCAAAGUUGUCUCCUGUGUGCUUGAUGCUAUCUUGCUUCUUUGGUUCCUGCAAUUGGAUGCGCGUUGGACGUACGCUUCUUCGGCCUGCUUUGGUCAUUGGAUGACUUAUGUGAUCUGCUUUGAUCACUGGCCAGUUGCCCCUGGACGUUAUCCGCGUCUGAGGGGCCCGAUCAGCUGCAGGAAACCCGGCUUCCCUUUGCAAUCAUUGUGUUGGCGCUGAACGCCCUGUUGCAAUACACUGUACCGAAAUCCCGCUCUCAA